rnacentral:rRNA from 1 species
AACCACUCGAUUUAUCGGGUGCUGAGGGUACCAUCACAUUAAGCACCCGCUAACUCCGUGCCAGCAGCCGCCGUAAUACGGAGGGUGCGAGCGUUAUCCGGAAUCACUGGGUUUAAAGGGUGCGUAGGCAGUUUGAUAAGUCAAUUGUGAAAUUCCUCGGCUUAACCGAGUGGACUGCGAUUGAUACUGUCAGACUUGAAUCAGGUUGAGGUAGGCGGAAUGUGACAUGUAGCGGUGAAAUGCUUAGAUAUGUCAUACAACACCGAUUGCGAAGGCAGCUUGCUGGGCUUAGAUUGACGCUGAGGCACGAAAGCAUGGGGAGCAAACAGGAUUAUAUACCCUGGUAGUCCACGCCCUAAACGAUGUUUACUUGCUGUUCCUGUCUUGCAUGGGAGUGGCGAA